rnacentral:lncRNA from 1 species
CCCUGUAUAAAAUUUAAAAAAUUCCAAAAACCCCAGAGGCGAUAAUGUGCGCGUAAGCAACUUUAAGCUGUAAUUUCAAUUUUUAUGAAAAAUCAGGUUUAUGGAGCUUUUUUUUCCGAUUUCAACGAUACCAAACACCCUAUAGUUAUCUCCAAUAGUUCAGGAGAUAUUCGCGAAAAACAUUUGGUCCUUCGAGCCAGAUUUUGCACUUUAAGUCCUUAUAUCUUGGAAACUGUUCAAGGUAACCCUAAGGUGUUUGGGCUCAUUUUAAUCAGUAUAAAAUUCUCUAUCCAACUAGUUUAAAAUCCCGAUAAUUAAAAAAAUAAUUUUUUAUUAAGUGCUUGGAAAAUAAUUUUUAUUUGCAUAGCUCCAUAGAGCUUUCUUUUCCGAUUCCAUUAAUACCAAACACCCUAUAGUUAUCUCCAAUAGUUAAGGAGAUAUUCGCGAAAAACAUUUGGUCCUUCGAGCCGGAUUUUGCACUGUAAUCUUCAUAUCUUGGAAACUAUUGAAGAUAACUAUAUAGUGUUUGGGCUCAUUUUAUUCAGCAGAAAAUUCUCUAUUCAACCAGUUAAAAAUCUAAACAAUAAAAAAAAAUUAUUUUCAAGUUCCUGGAAUAUAAUUCUCAUUUGCAUAAGUCAAUAGAGCCUUCGUUCGCGAUUCUAUUAAUAGCAAACACUCUAUAUCUAUCUUCAAUACUUUAGGAGAUAUUCGCGAAAAUCAUUUGGUCCUUCGAGCCGGAUUUUGCACUUUAAGUCCUUAUAUCUUGGAAACUGUUCAAGGUAACCCUAAGGUGUUUGGGCUCAUUUCAAUCAGUAUAAAAUUCUCUAUCCAACUGGUUUAAAAUCCCGAUAAUUAAAAAAAUAAUUUUUUAUUAAGUGCUUGGAAAAUAAUUUUUAUUUGCAUAGCUCCAUAGAGCUUUCUUUUCCAAUUCCAUUAAUACCAAACACCCUAUAGUUAUCUCCAAUAGUUCAGGAGAUAUUCGCGAAAAACAUUUGGUCCUUCAAGCCGGAUUUUGCACUGUAAUCGUCAUAUCUUCGAAACUAUUGAAGAUAACUAUAUAGUGUUUGGGCUCAUUUUAUUCACCAGAAAAUUCUCUAUUCAAUCAGUUAAAAAUCGAAACAAUAAAAAAAAUAUUUUAUUUUCAAGUUCCUGGAAUAUAAUUCUCAUUUGCAUAAGUCAAUAGAGCCUUCGUUCGUGAUUCUAUUAAUACCAAACACUCUAUAUCUAUCUUCAAUACUUUAGGAGAUAUUCGCGAAAAACAUUUGGUCCUUCGAGCCGGUCUUUCUACCUGGUGAUGGCCUACGGCCGAAACCGCUAGACACUAAU